UGGGGAAUUUUGCACAAUGGGCGCAAGCCUGAUGCAGCGACGCCGCGUGAGGGAUGAAGGCCUUCGGGUUGUAAACCUUUUUCGCUCAUGGUCAAGCCGCAGCUUUGGGUUGUGGUGAGGGCAGUGGGUAAAGAAGCGCCGGCUAACUACGUGCCAGCAGCCGCGGUAAUACGUAGGGCGCGAGCGUUGUCCGGAAUUAUUGGGCGUAAAGGGUGCGUAGGUGGUCUUUCAAGUCGGUGGUUAAAGGCUACGGCUCAACCGUAGUUAGCCUCCGAAACUGGAAGACUUGAGUGCAGGAGAGGAAAGUGGAAUUCCCAGUGUAGCGGUGAAAUGCGUAGAUAUUGGGAGGAACACCAGUAGCGAAGGCGGCUUUCUGGACUGCAACUGACACUGAGGCACGAAAGCGUGAGUAGCAAGCAGG
rnacentral:rRNA from 1 species